rnacentral:rRNA from 1 species
AUUGAACGCUGGCGGCAGGCCUAACACAUGCAAGUCGAACGGCAGCGGGGGAUAGCUUGCUAUCCUGCCGGCGAGUGGCGGACGGGUGAGUAAUGCGUGGGGAGCUGCCCAGUCGAGGGGGAUAACAACUGGAAACGGUUGCUAAUACCGCAUACGCCCUAAGGGGGAAAGGUGGGGAACUUCGGUCCUACCGCGAUUGGAUGCGCCCAUGUGGGAUUAGCUAGUUGGUGAGGUAACGGCUCACCAAGGCGACGAUCUCUAGCUGGUCUGAGGGGAUGACCAGCAACACUGGAACUGAGCCACGGUCCACACUACUACGGGAGGCCGCAGUGGGGAAUAUUGCACAAUGGGGGAAACCCUGAUGCAGCCAUGCCGCGUGUGUGGAGAAGGCCUUCGGGUUGUAAAGCACUUUCAGUCAGGAGGAAGGGGUGAUGGCUAAUAUCCAUCAUCAUUGACGUUACUGACAGAAGAAGCACCGGCUAACUCCGUGCCAGCCGCCGCCGUAA